rnacentral:rRNA from 1 species
UACAGAGGUCCCAAGCGUUGUUCGGAUUCACUGGGCGUAAAGGGUGCGUAGGCGGUCGGGUAAGUCUGAUGUGAAAUCUCACAGCUUAACUGUGAAACUGCAUUGGAUACUAUCCGGCUCGAGGAAUGGAGGGGAGACUGGAAUACUUGGUGUAGCAGUGAAAUGCGUAGAUAUCAAGUGGAACACCAGUGGCGAAGGCGAGUCCCUGGACAACACCUGACACUGAGGCACGAAAGCUAGGGGAGCAAACAGG